UCCAAGGUGACGUGUGUAGAGGACGUGGACGUUGACAGGUCCUUCUCGUUACCUUUUGUCUUGCACAUGCAUGACCGUCACACAGCUGACUGGUAGAUUAGUGCAGUAAACACUUCCUGUCCUGCAACACACACACACACAGAUCGUAAUACGACUACAUGCACGGGGUGGUGUAAUUGUGGUUGUGUGUGUAACCUGGACAGUCUCCUGUGGAAAGCAGAGAGCAUCAGUGUGUUGCCUGGCAACAGGCCAGGUGGGUAGGUGUUGUGCUUCAACUUCAGGUAGACAUGAAUGCUCCUCCCAUUUUGGUCACACACUGUGAGACGCACACCUGAACACAGCAUGUGAAGUGCUUUGUUGAAUGUGCGUGCGUGUGUGUGUGUGUUUGUGUGAGGGUGAAAGAGACCUAUGUCAGUGUGUCCAGUGUCCCUCGUCCUGUCAUCCAGAUUGAUCCGCUCAGAGACAAAACCCUGAAAACACACCACAUCUGCGCAACUAAACACACACACACACACACACACACACACACACACAGGGGAUUGUUGUAGUAUUGAUCAACAUCAUGUGAUUCACGUUGGCGAGUCCACCUGUCGUCCAGUACUUCAGACACGGAUGACACAGUGGCCGAGACACUCUUGAGGACACAAGAGGACACAUCAGUCUCACAAAGUGAAAUUAUUCCAAGGUGGGACACCAUUAUUUACUUGUUCGUUGGUGUGCGCAAGGAGUGGACGUGUCAGUGUGUGAAACCUCCAAUCAGAUUGGACCUUCAUAAUGAAGUCGUGGCUCUGCCCAGUCACAGCACAGCCAAUCAACACGCCGCGAUCCUGAUGGACAUGUGACAGUUAGCAACGGGGCAUCACAGAGCAAUGUGUUGUGAUACGAGUGUUGUAAUUACAUACGUGUGUGUUGGGCACCACCAGUCUGUAGAAACAUUCUGGCUGGAGGAUGGGAAACCAGCGAGCUGACGCACCUGAACACACCACAGUCACCUGCGCACCGAGAUACACAAGUGCAUUGUGGGAGCUCACAGACAGUGUUUUGGUAUUCUCUACAAGGUUCUUACACACGUCAUUGCUGACACGGCCACGAGGGGGAGAAACGUCCACAAGCUCACCUGUUUCUCCUUGUCUGCCUCAAAGUCUUUCAUUGGCCUGUUCUUUGGGUCCUGCCCCCAGACCACCACUGGACCAACCACAGUGGUUUUGGCAGAGAAGCAAGCGAUCAGCCCAGCCUCCUGUUCCUCUCGCCCCGACCCCGUGUUCAUCCAAGUGACGCCAGUCUUCUGCUCCAGCCUGAGGACCACCGAGAUGCAGGGACACUGGUGGGUUUCCAUGGCUACAGAUGGACUCAGAAUGUGGAGACAAUCCUGAGAGAACUGGAGCGUGAAGCAGAAGAAGGAAGUUCCUGCUACAACCAGCAGGGGGCAGACAAAAGCUACCUGGCCGUAAACAGAAAAACGCUGUCCUCGGGUCCUGACAAACAAAUGGAGGUCAGAUGGCGAAAAGAAGAAUGGGAUCCUUAUCUCACAGGUCCCACCUCUGUGCCAGGGACAGUCACCAAUCCAUGCACAAGACCAGGACACAACAGAACAGGAGAACCAAUCAGCUCCACGUAGCCUUGAGCCUCUGCCUGCGCUUGCUUCGGAGCACUUUGGGGGAUGUAGUGCCAGUGGGGCAGGAAGACAAGACGAUCCAACCACAGAGAAGUAUUUGGAUCCAUUCUCCAAGCAGGGCAGAGCACAGAGUUGAUAGCUCUGUUGAUAACUCCUCCUUCCUGCUGUGAGCUGUGGAGCCAGCGUACCACUACGAAUCGCCGCUGGGGCAUGUCUGUGUGGAGUUUGCAUGUUCUCCCCGUGCGUGCGUGGGUUUUUUCCGGGUACUCCGGUUUCCUCCCACACUCCAAAAACAUGCAUGUUAGGUUAAUUGGCAACUCUAAAUUGUCCAUAGGUAUGAAUGUGAGUGUGAAUGGUUGUUUGUCUAUGUGUGCUGGCGACCAGUCCGGGGUGUACCCCACCUCUCGCCCAAAGUCAGCUGGGGUAGGCCCCAGCAUGCCCCCAGAUAAGCAGAUAAGGAUAAUGGAUGGAUGGACAAAUGUUUGAGCAAAAUAAAGUCAAUAGUGCAAAAAGAAGUAGACAAAAAGAAAAAACAAAUGUUGUCUCUCAUUCAAAUCAUCUGAAGAUCUCCUGUGUCCAACAACUUAUUCUGUGAGCUUGCAAACAAUAUAUACAUAUAACAAUAUCAACAUUGUAACAACACAACAACAAAAACACAAACAAAACAAAGAUGUUUGUGAAUAAACAUAGAAGAGAGUCUUUCUCAUCUUAGUAUCAAUCCCACACUGACCCACACAUUGAUAACAAUACUAUCAAAAUGUUAAUCAAUCAGCCCUCCUCUAAUAUCUAUAAAAUGUCAGAGUUCCUAUGGCGGACCAAGGAACAAUGGAUGGUUUCAUGUUAGGGCAGGGGUGUCCACAGUGCUGCACUGGCCCAUUUUUGGUGAGCCUGUACAAAAAGUAUCAAUGUGGCCCCCGUAUCCUUUAUCUGUAUGCAGCCCUUGCUGGAAUGUUUUGUUAAUUAUGUUCCAACAUUCAUAUGGACUUUGUCAUUGUCAAGACAGUAUGCAAAUUUUGCCUGGCAUUUAGUUAUUGUCAUUAUACUGAUUAUAAGCCCACAAUGGUGUUUCCACAUCAUUUCAGUAUCUCAUAUUUCCAUGGUGAAGAGACAAACUUAAAUAUGAAAUGAAUUCAUGACAAUUAUGAAGUGGGAGCUAAAAUAAAAACAUUUUCUUUCAUAAACACAUACAUGUACAUCUAUUAAUUACUGUUCUACUUUAUGUUUUUAUCUUUCUCACAUUGGGUUGUAGUUAAUGUGAACUGAAAGCAGGAAAUGCAUGAAAAUG